AUGCUGUCUGCCUCUCGCUUGCUCCUGCAGCUGGAGAAAGUGUACGACCCAAAGAAUGAGGAGGACGACAUGCGGGAGAUGGAGGAGGAGCGACUGCGCAUGCGGGAGCAUGUGAUGAAGAAUGUGAGGUGGGGGCCAGGCGGGGGAGAGGACGGGGCCCCAGCUCUGUCACUCACCCUUAUCUGGCUCCCCAGGUGGACACCAACCAGGACCGCCUCGUGACCCUGGAGGAGUUCCUCGCAUCCACUCAGAGGAAGGAGUUUGGGGACACCGGGGAGGGCUGGGAGACAGUGGAGAUGCACCCUGCCUACACCGAGGAAGAGCUGAGGCGCUUUGAAGAGGAGCUGGCUGCCCGGGAGGCAGAGCUGAAUGCCAAGGCCCAGCGCCUCAGCCAGGAGACAGAGGCUCUAGGGCGGUCCCAGGGCCGCCUGGAGGCCCAGAAGAGAGAGCUGCAGCAGGCUGUGCUGCACAUGGAGCAGCGGAAGCAGCAGCAGCAGCAGCAGCAAGGCCACAAGGCCCCGGCUGCCCACCCUGAGGGGCAGCUCAAGUUCCACCCAGACACAGACGAUGUACCUGUCCCAGCUCCAGCCGGUGACCAGAAGGAGGUGGACACUUCAGAAAAGAAACUUCUCGAGCGGCUCCCUGAGGUUGAGGUGCCCCAGCAUCUGUGAUCCUCCGGGACCCCAGCCCUCAGGAUUCCUGAUGCUCCAAGGAGACUGAUGGGCGCUGGAUGAAGUGGCACAGUCAGCUUCCCUGGGGGCCGGUGUCAUGUUGGGCUCCUGGGGCGGGGGCACGGCCUGGCAUUUCAUGCACUGCUGCCACCCCAGGUCCACCUGUCUCCACUUUCACAGCCUCCAAGUCUGUGACUCUUCCCUUCUGUCCUCUGAGGGGCUUGCCUUCUCUCGUGUCCAGUGAGGUGCUCAGUGAUCGGCUUAACUUAGGGAAGCCCGCCCCCUCCCCUUCUCCGUCUGUCCCAAGAGGGUCUGCUCUGAGCCUGCGUUCCUAGGUGGCUCGGCCUCAGCUGCCUGGGUUGUGGCCGCCCUAGCAUCCUGUAUGCCCACAGCUACUGGAAUCCCCGCUGCUGCUCCGGGCCAAGCUUCUGGUUGAUUAAUGAGGGCAUGGGGUGGUCCCUCAAGACCUUCCCCUACCUUUUGUGGAACCAGUGAUGCCUCAAAGACAGUGUCCCCUCCACAGCUGGGUGCCAGGGGCAGGGGAUCCUCAGUAUAGCCGGUGAACCCUGAUACCAGGAGCCCGGGCCUCCCUGAACCCCUGGCUUCCAGCCAUCUCAUUGCCAGCCUCCUCCUGGACCUCUUGGCCCCCAGCCCCUUCCCCACACAGCCCCAGAAGGGUCCCAGAGCUGACCCCACUCCAGGACCUAGGCCCAGCCCCUCAGCCUCAUCUGGAGCCCCUGAAGACCAGUCCCACCCACCUUUCUGGCCUCAUCUGACACUGCUCCGCAUCCUGCUGUGUGUCCUGUUCCGUGUUCCGGUUCCAUCCAAAUAUACUUUCUGGAAC
rnacentral:sRNA from 1 species